GACGAACGCUGGCGGCGUGCCUAAUACAUGCAAGUAGAACGCUGAAGAGAGGAGCUUGCUCUUCUUGGAUGAGUUGCGAACGGGUGAGUAACGCGUAGGUAACCUGCCUUGUAGCGGGGGAUAACUAUUGGAAACGAUAGCUAAUACCGCAUAACAAUGGAUGACACAUGUCAUUUAUUUGAAAGGGGCAAUUGCUCCACUACAAGAUGGUCCUGCGUUGUAUUAGCUAGUAGGUGAGGUAAUGGCUCACCUAGGCGACGAUACAUAGCCGACCUGAGAGGGUGAUCGGCCACACUGGGACUGAGACACGGCCCAGACUCCUACGGGAGGCAGCAGUAGGGAAUCUUCGGCAAUGGGGGCAACCCUGACCGAGCAACGCCGCGUGAGUGAAGAAGGGUUUCGGAUCGUAAAGCUCUGUUGUAAGUCAAGAACGGGUGUGAGAGUGGAAAGUUCACACUGUGACGGUAGCUUACCAGAAAGGGACGGCUAACUACGUG
rnacentral:rRNA from 1 species